ACUUACUUUACACAGCGUGAAAUGAUGUCGUCUGCACACGCACUUAUCAUCCGCUAGACGAUGUCUGCGCCGCCUAUGACGCUCCAAGUGAUGCAAUCAGCGCCAAGGGAAAAAAACCGCCCGAUAACGAUAUUUCAACGCUUGCAGAAUGUUCAUUUCUAUGAAUAAUUUUUGCGCGGGAUCAAAUGUUCGCAAAAUACGCAUAUUUUCAAGUCCUGCCCGUUGCCAGACUUUAUCUUUGGCUGCCACAAAACAAAUCACACUUGUAAAAGAAAGAGAGAAAGAGAAAAAAGGUGGUUCAAGGUCGUGCGUCUUAUUCAAAGAUGAACAUGACAUAGCCCAAAAUAAAACGAAAGUUAUUUCUUUAUAGCAUAUGAGUGAAGUAUAUACAAGACUCAUUCGUCGUCAUCGUCCAAAGUGUGAGCGGUGAUGACAACAUCCGCCUGAGAUCCCUCGGCCAGGAUGUCCGUCGAAAGCAGCUGGGCUGGAUUCACUACCACUACAAUCUGCUGACCAGAUGGAGUUUGCACAAAAGUCCCUUCUUCCUGUGUGUAAGGGUCGUGCCCAAGAACUUGUGGUCCAGUCCUUGCAGAAAAGCAGUGGAUCCGUCACCCAGUUUAACACCAAGACCAGAAGAACCGUCCACCAGGUUUAAGCAGGUCACGCCCUGGGCCGUCUGAGGAAAAACCCCACAGCCGGCUCGAAGACCUCCAAGUCUCGCGGGAGUACCGCCAUCCAAUCGGGAGAGCCAAUGAGGACACUCUGCCGGCUGGGGAACCGGAGAAAACUUCCCCAGCAGUCCCUCCCAUGGUGUAUUGCACUAACUGGAAUCAGUGACUAUUAGAGCACGAAUUUUCGCGUCAUUUUUAUAUUUGUUGACGUGGUGCGCGCCCUGUCCGGUUUCACUUUAGAGCCGGCGGCUGCCUAGACCCGUCCGAACGGCAGGUCCUGGCAGUUUAGUUGGACAGUACAAACUACGAAUGAAUAUAAUUUGAAUUUACGGUUGGCGUUUUCGUUUACAAGACGUGACGGCAGUGAGCGUGCAUGGGGGCGCUUCAGAUCCCGCUACGGCUCGUCUACGGCUCUGCCGGCUGUUCAAAUCAGGGUGGCGGAGCGAACCGAAAACGCUAUUUUGGUGCGAACCGGAACAGAAUCGAAACCGUAGGCGUUUGUUUUUUUUUCGCUCUGGACUGAAACCGAAAAAUUUAUUUAACGGUUUUCGGUACAAGAAAAAAAUUUGGCCGGUUUGGACUACGGAUAGGAGAAUGAAACUGACGUCACGUGUUCUCAAGUCAUGACACAGAUACUUUACGAGGGAUGCGGUUACGGUUCCACGUCGAGAAGGCCUAUUUCAACAGACAGUCUUUCUUUGUUUCAGGAUUGUUUUCUUUCAAUGUUCUUAACUGGAGCCAGGAGCUACCAAUUUCUCAGCUGCCUAUUUAAUAUUAAAUACAAUGUAUACGGAAUAAACCGGUUUACAUUUUGCAACAUCGAUUUUUAUUUUUUUGCUCGCACCGUUUAUGAUAGAACCGGAACGAAAAACGUUUCGGUUCGACACCCUGGUUCAAAUUCCACAAGGAAACCGUAGAUUAGAAGACACAGAAAUAUGCAAUAAAGAAUGCUCGUUUACGUGGCUAA